rnacentral:lncRNA from 1 species
CUCUCCCAUCAAAGCAAGGCGCUUUGGGAAGACUUGAAGGUUAUUGGUGAAAAUGAAUGCCCUUCAAAGAUCUGCGAGAACUGCUUUUUGAUUGGUUGGAAGCUGCACUUAGUACGUGGCGGAUUCUGACUGUAAAGAGGGCUGUUCCCCGAGGGAGAAAGAGUGGGAGGCGAGUCCCUAGUUGCGGGGAGUAGGCCGACCUUAAAGGGACUGCUGUUGUAGCUGUUCUAAAGCAGAGUCUAUGCGGAAAGGCAAAAGGAAAGCAGAAACAAAUAAAAGUUCCGUGGGAUGGUUAAGCUUGAUUGUGUCAACUGGAUGGCUUGGACACUUCCAAGGAGAUAGGUGGAACGCACUUCUGAGUACCUCUGGAUGGGUCAUGGAGGCUGACCUUGGGGUGUAUAUCUGGCCCCUCAUCUCGUCCUCUCCAGCACUCUUUCCCUAUUCCGCCUCCUGGCUGCCAUGAACUACAUAUCUUUGAUCCACCAUGCUCUUCUGCCAUGAUAUCUCUGCCUGGGAACCAGCUAACCAUGAACUGAAUGUGCUGAGACCAUGAGCCAAAUUGAACCUCUCCUCCUUUAAGUUGUGUGUGUCAAGUAUUGUGUCUCAGCAAUGGAAAAGCUGACCAAUACACUCCACUAGUAGACUUCUACUUGCAUGUCACAGAUCAGACCAUUUCAAAUAGGCACUCCCAGCUAUAAGGGCAGCAGACUGCCAUUCCAAAAAACUGUUGUUCUGUUAGCGAGUGUGAGGAGAGAAUUUUUUUUUUUUUUUUUUUUUUUUUUUAUUUUUUAUUUUAAAGAAUAAAAGAAGGAUAACAUAAUAAUAGGGGGGACUUAGCAAAUUACAGACAAAAUGGUAGGAAAUUAUCAAUGGUUAUCGUUUUACGUAUUAUUAUCUAUAAAAUAGUUUCUCAGGAAAACAAAUAGACAAAUAAUAGUAAGUUAGAGACAAAAGAGGUAGGAGAUUAUCAAGAAUUGUUAUGCUAUACUUUGGUAUCUUCAAAGUGGCUUCUAAAGAAUAUAAAUAGAGCUAUACAUGAGUGACAUAUUGAAAAAUCAUUAACUAUUCUCAAUGGUUGUUGUAGGAAACACAUAAUAAUAAACAUACAUUAUGAAACAGGAUAGGAACAUUCCAAACUUAACACAGUUAUGGAUAGAUUAGUAGGAAAAUAUCAAUGGCUGCUGUAAUAUGUGGUGGUAUCUUCAAAGUGGUUUCUCAGGAAGACAGAGAUAUGCAAGAAGGAUCUAAUAAGUAAUUACAGCCUAAGGGUUGUCAAAAAUAGCAUAUUACCUCCUCACAAGUGACUCCUUUCACUGAGGUAUGAUGGCUGGAAGGAAGGCCAGGAUUGAAAAGAAGGACCGAGAGACUUGCACCUGUGACUAGCAACAGGCUGUUUUCUUGUUCCUGUGAGGAGAGAAUUUGUAAUCAGCCUUAUCGAAGUAUAAUCUAUGUACGUGAAAUCAUACCUGUUGAAAGCAUACUUGUGGGUGACUUUCAAUAGGGGUAUACACCAUAGUCAGGACACUGAACAUUUCCAUUCCUAUCACCAGAGAACUUCCUCAUGUCCCUUUUAAACAGUUAAUCUCUUCUUUCACCUCUGGCCCUGAGGUAAUUGUAGAUCUGUUUUCUAUCACCAUAGUCUGCAUUUUUUGGAAUCUUUAAUAAAUAUAGCCAUACAGUAUGUACUCUUCGGAGAUUUUUUGUUGUUGUUUUGCUCAUUUUUUGAGAACAGGUCUUGCGAUGUAAUCCAGGCUGGCCUUGAGUUUAUAGCAAUCUUCCUGCCUCAGCCUCCUGAGUGCUGGGAUUACAGGCAUGCACUACCACACCCACCCACAGUAUGUAAUCUUAUAUCUGGCUUCUUUUUUGAAUUCAUGCAUAUUGUUACAAGUAUCAGUAUUUUGUUUCUUUUAACUGUUGAGUGGUAUGCUAUUGUAUACGUGCAUAUUUCUUUAUCCAUUUACCUACUGCUGUACAUUUCAGAUAUUUCUAAGUUUUAACUAUGACAAAUAAAGCUGCUAUAACC